AGCGAGGCUAGAGUCACGUCUGGAUAUACUACCCAUUGUCCUGAUGUGCUAGAGUGCUCGCAGAACAACAUGUCUCUGUUUAUUCGUUGGCUGUAGUCUGCUGUGGCCCAGUCAAUCACCGACUCAGACACAUUC